rnacentral:rRNA from 1 species
GAUGAACGCUGGCGGCGUGCCUAAUACAUGCAAGUCGAGCGAACAGAUGAGGAGCUUGCUUCUCUGACGUUAGCGGCGGACGGGUGAGUAACACGUGGAUACCCUACCUAUAAGACUGGGAUAACUUCGGGAAACCGGAGCUAAUACCGGAUAAUAUAUUGAACCGCAUGGUUCAUUAGUGAAAGACGGUUUUGCUGUCACUUAUAGAUGGAUCCGCGCCGCAUUAGCUAGUUGGUAAGGUAACGGCUUACCAAGGCAACGCUGCGUAGCCGACCUGAGAGGGUGAUCGGCGAAACUGGAACUGGGACACGGGCCAGACUCCUAAGGGAGGCAGCAGUAGGGAAUCUUCCGCAAUGGGCGAAAGCUUGGCGGAACAACGCCGGGUGAGUGAUAAAGGGCUUCGGAUCGGAAAACUCUGUUAUUAGGGAAGAACAAAUGUGUAAGUAACUAUGCACGUCUUGACGGUACCUAAUAAGAAAGCCACGGCUAACUACGUG